rnacentral:rRNA from 1 species
AGAGUUUGAUCCUGGCUCAGGAUGAACGCUGGCGGCGUGCCUAAUACAUGCAAGUCGAACGCUUCACUUCGGUGAAGAGUGGCGAACGGGUGAGUAAUACAUAAGUAACCUGGCAUCUACAGGGGGAUAACUGAUGGAAACGUCAGCUAAGACCGCAUAGGUGUAGAGAUCGCAUGAACUCUAUAUGAAAAGUGCUACGGGACUGGUAGAUGAUGGACUUAUGGCGCAUUAGCUUGUUGGUAGGGUAACGGCCUACCAAGGCGACGAUGCGUAGCCGACCUGAGAGGGUGACCGGCCACACUGGGACUGAGACACGGCCCAGACUCCUACGGGAGGCAGCAGUAGGGAAUUUUCGGCAAUGGGGGAAACCCUGACCGAGCAACGCCGCGUGAAGGAAGAAGUAAUUCGUUAUGUAAACUUCUGUCAUAGAGGAAGAACGGUGGAUAUAGGGAAUGAUAUCCAAGUGACGGUACUCUAUAAGAAAGCCACGGCUAACUACGUGCCAGCAGCCGCGGUAAUACGUAGGUGGCGAGCGUUAUCCGGAAUUAUUGGGCGUAAAGAGGGAGCAGGCGGCACUAAGGGUCUGUGGUGAAAGAUCGAAGCUUAACUUCGGUAAGCCAUGGAAACCGUAGAGCUAGAGUGUGUGAGAGGAUCGUGGAAUUCCAUGUGUAGCGGUGAAAUGCGUAGAUAUAUGGAGGAACACCAGUGGCGAAGGCGACGAUCUGGACGAUAACUGACGCUCAGUCCCGAAAGCGUGGGGAGCAAAUAGGAUUAGAUACCCUAGUAGUCCACGCCGUAAACGAUGAGUACUAAGUGUUGGGUGUCAAAGCUCUUCAGUGCUGCAGUUAACGCAAUAAGUACUCCGCCUGAGUAGUACGUUCGCAAGAAUGAAACUCAAAGGAAUUGACGGGGGCCCGCACAAGCGGUGGAGCAUGUGGUUUAAUUCGAAGCAACGCGAAGAACCUUACCAGGUCUUGACAUCGAUCUAAAGGCUCCAGAGAUGGAGAGAUAGCUAUAGAGAAGACAGGUGGUGCAUGGUUGUCGUCAGCUCGUGUCGUGAGAUGUUGGGUUAAGUCCCGCAACGAGCGCAACCCCUGUUGCCAGUUGCCAGCAUUAAGUUGGGGACUCUGGCGAGACUGCCGGUGACAAGCCGGAGGAAGGCGGGGAUGACGUCAAAUCAUCAUGCCCCUUAUGACCUGGGCUACACACGUGCUACAAUGGACAGAGCAGAGGGAAGCGAAGCCGCGAGGUGGAGCGAAACCCAUAAAACUGUUCUCAGUUCGGACUGCAGUCUGCAACUCGACUGCACGAAGAUGGAAUCGCUAGUAAUCGCGAAUCAGCAUGUCGCGGUGAAUACGUUCUCGGGCCUUGUACACACCGCCCGUCACACCAUGAGAGUCGGUAACACCCGAAGCCGGUGGCCUAACCGCAAGGAAGGAGCUGUCUAAGGUGGGACUGAUGAUUGGGGUGAAGUCGUAACAAGGUAUCCCUACGGGAACGUGGGGAUG